rnacentral:tRNA from 1 species
CAUUAAGAAGCUAAACAGGCCUAGCGGCAGCCUUUUAAGCUGCAGAUUGGUGAAUCCUAACCACCCUUAGUGA